rnacentral:rRNA from 1 species
GAUGAACGCUAGCGGCAGGCUUAACACAUGCAAGUCGAGGGGUAUAGUAGCAAUACUAGAGACCGGCGCACGGGUGCGUAACGCGUAUGCAAUCUACCUUAUACAGGGGGAUAGCCCAGAGAAAUUUGGAUUAAUGCCCCAUGGUAUAUAUGAAUCGCAUGGUUUAUAUAUUAAAGUUCCAACGGUAAAAGAUGAGCAUGCGUCCCAUUAGUUAGUUGGUAAGGUAACGGCUUACCAAGACGAUGAUGGGUAGGGGUCCUGAGAGGGAGAUCCCCCACACUGGUACUGAGACACGGACCAGACUCCUACGGGAGGCAGCAGUGAGGAAUAUUGGACAAUGGGCGCAAGCCUGAUCCAGCCAUGCCGCGUGCAGGAAGACGGUCCUAUGGAUUGUAAACUGCUUUUGUACGGGAAGAAACACUCCCUCGUGAGGGAGCUUGACGGUACCGUAAGAAUAAGGAUCGGCUAACUCCGUGCCAGCCGCCGCAGUAACAC